rnacentral:rRNA from 1 species
CAGUUCAGAUUGCAGGCUGCAACUCGCCUGCAUGAAGUUGGAAUUGCUAGUAAUCGCGAAUCAGAAUGUCGCGGUGAAUACGUUCCCGGGCCUUGUACACACCGCCCGUCACACCAUGAGAGUCGAUAACACCCGAAGCCUGUGAGCUAACCGCAAGGGGGCAGCAGUCGAGGGUGGGGUUGAUGAUUGGGGUGAAGUCGUAACAAGGUAUC